AUGUCUGUGUGCCGACUGCCAUGGGACGGAGUCAGUGCCGGGCUGGCAUGGAGGCGAAGGAGUCUGCUGGCCUUCCACGGAGACUUCAGGCAGGGUCAGCGGCGGAGAGGACAGGGCAUCUUGUCGCAAAGCCCCGGCAAAGGUCACAGAGGCAGAUCCGAGAGAGAACCGGAACCAAGGAACGAGUGGGACCGCGGGCUGCGGAGCCUGCGCGCUGAGAACCGGGCGGCCACCCUGACGGCGCCCAGCUCGCACAGCAGUGCUGCGAAGGUCAGGUACGCCCCACUUUGGCUGAGGGUUGACCGUCUCUGCUGCUGUGCACUGUCGCUGUUGGCGCCCUCGUCCUGUGCCGCCCACGCUUGAGGUCCACCUGCUG
rnacentral:lncRNA from 1 species